rnacentral:lncRNA from 1 species
UGAGUUUUUGCAUUAUGAUAUUGGCACUUUUUGAUGCACAUUCGCUUGUAUUUGGCAAAAUAGCUUUCUACCUUUCAUUUUCCAACAAUGAGUUGGUGCUUUCUCCUUUUCCUUAUGCACUUUUCCUUUCUCGUGUCACAUCAUAGAUCAUACAUACAUACUAUAAUGACAAAUUGGUCUUUUCCUGUGCAACUUGGAUAAGGAGAAAAUGAAGUUUGGAUUCAUUGUAUUUGAACUGUGAGGCAAACACGCGAUUUGCGCUGAAUUAGGACGGAUCAUACUUUCAUGGACUAAUUUAUCCGCCCGGUGCAUAGUUGGGAAACUCUGUAUAAGCAAUUUAAUCUUGGCUGUUGGCCAGGAAAUUCCACAGACAACUACCACAUCUCAUUGUCAUCUGGACAUAAAAUUACAAAAUGGUAGGUAUUCCAUCUGAAAUUAUUAAGAAUUGCUCAACAAAUUGCCCUUUGAAGAUAUUUAAUAAAAUUAGGAGGAGACAAAGAAGAUAAAUAUGGUCCCAACGUAAUCUACGAGUAAAACAAUUUAGAUAGAAAAAUACAGAUCCCUGACAACGCGGCUAAAAAGUUCAAUUUCCAAAAAAACUGAUGUAUACUUUGAAUCACUUGUCCUCUGGUACCUAGACAAGCUUCCAACUAAUCCUGCUAGCUCCAAUAUUAUAACAUUAUUGGCACCAAAAAGGAAAAAGGAGAGGAAAAGAGAACCUAAAUGAUACAAAAUAGUGUGGAUACUAAACACAGGCAAAGCAAAAAAUCCAUGUUGCAAUAUCUGGGUUUACAGAGCUUAUGAAUCGAUGAUCAAUCCAAAACAUGUAGCAUCAUUUAAUGAAAAAUUUCUUUCUAAGAAUAGCACAAUAUCUUUUCAGACUGGAUUUAAAAAAACAAGAAUAAGAUUCUAACACUGGUACCUAUUAUAUUAUACAGAAAACAGUUCAACACCCUGGUCUCAAGCAGCACCAAAACUCUGAAGUUCAAUAUAAUGAAACCAUAAUAAUUAUGAUCUGACUUCAUAUUUUCCAGCCCUGGUUAGAGCUCGAAACCCUUUAUAAGGCCGCGCAGGUAGAUUCUUGAAAUCAAGUUUUUCUAUUUUCAAACCUGAGAGUGCAACACCCAUAAUUUUGAAUCCCACAAGAAAUAUAGGGAAUACGUGAAGCCGCUCAACACCUGUUUCCAACAUUAAUGUUCCAGUCAUUGAAGGAGUUUUGUCUUUCGGCAUCCGACCAAUGGACCAAGUGCAGGUCUGCACUAAUAAAUCAACAUGUCAAGACACAACUAAAAAAAUUUGCAGAUUAGAGCUUCCUCUAUCACAUAAAUACAAGAUGAAACCAGACUGAAAAAAGAUUUUUACUUUUAAAAAAAGCUUGGCAUCCAUUUACAAGUUUUUAUCAUUUUACGGUAGGUCUAGAACUGACUAGAGUAGAAAGUAUCUUCAUUCAUUUACUCGUGAUCAACUGCCAGACACAUGCAUUAAAAAUGGCACAAAGGAUAAGCAACUCUGUAGGUGAGAGGAAGCACUAAGUACCUUGUUGGAAAGGAUGUUUACUGUUCCGUAAUUUGAUGUAAGAUCUGCAGAUAAAACACGAGGGGGGAGUUGAAAUUGCACACUUAUAUCAUCAAUCGUCUUCCCAGGAUCAUUGCGUAUCCCAACUAACAAGUUAAUACGACAUGUCCCUGAGUCUGAAGUAAUUUGUGGCUUUACAUAUAUAGGGGUGCUCUUCAACUUCUUUAUUCUGCAUGGUAUAGUUUAGAGAGGGAGAAAAAAGUUUAGACAAGGAAAAAGGAAGUAAAUUCUCUAAUGCACUCCUACAGCGAAACACGUGUCCGGUUUACAGUUUGCCAUUUCCUGUUUUUCAUGUUUGCUGGAUGCACAUUGUAGUUUCAAAAUCUGCACAUAACCCAAUUAACAAUGGACUAAGUGCCAUUACUUGUGAAUAUAUGUAUUAAAUAGUGGUUAUAAAAAGAAAUGCUUUUCCUUCUGUAUAUAGAAUGCAUUUACGAACAGUUCAGCUUUCAGUACACAUUUAUUGACAGUUUAACUUUUGUUAUUGGAAGGAGCAAGUUCAGCAGCCUGGCAUUUCGGUGGAGUUCCAAUAUUGACCCAUAUAUUUCCAUUUCCUCAAAAAGAUAAUUUCUUUUUUUGCUGGGUUUCACCCUCCUUAUCAAGCGAGGAAGGGGUUAAUUUUAUGGGUUUCGAUAUCAGAGGGGAUAAAGGGUUUCGAUACAAGUACAUACUAAAUGUAAGCAGAAGAUUAGGAUAAGAUGGAAGUAUUUGCAAAUGAAAAGACAAUUAAGUCAAAACCACCAAACUUUAAUCAUAAGUGAAGGCAACUGCAAUAGCUAACACGACAAACCUG